GAAACGUUACCUGCUGAGGUAGAUUGAUCAGCGAGCUUGAUACCCCGUUCAAAAUCGUGAUCAGUAUACUUCGUCAGGCAGCUUGUUUU
ensembl:miRNA mir-795 ncRNA